AUUAGAUAAAAAACCAAUGCCCUUCGGGGCUGCUUGGUGAUUCAUAAUAACUUCUCGGAUCGCAUGGCCUUGCGCCGGCGACGGUUCAUUCAAAUUUCUGCCCUAUCAACUUUCGAUGGUAAGGUAUUGGCUUACCAUGGUUUCAACGGGUAACGGGGAAUUAGGGUUCGAUUCCGGAGAGCGAGCCUGAGAGACGGCUAGCACAUCCAAGGAAGGCAGCAGGCGCGCAAAUUACCCAAUCCCGACACGGGGAGGUAGUGACAAUAAAUACUGAUACAGGGCUCUUUUGGGUCUUGUAAUUGGAAUGAGUACAAUUUAAACCUCUUAACGAGGAACAAUUGGAGGGCAAGUCUGGUGCCAGCAGCCGCGGUAAUUCCAGCUCCAAUAGCGUAUAUUAAAGUUAUUGCAGUUAAAAAGCUCGUAGUUGAACCUUUGGCCUGGCUGGCAGGUCCGCCUCACCGCGUGCACUUGUCCGGCCGGGCCUUCUCUUCUGGAGAACCGCAUGCCCUUCACUGG
rnacentral:rRNA from 1 species